rnacentral:rRNA from 1 species
AAACUAACAAGGAUUCCCCUAGUAACGGCGAGUGAACAGGGAAGAGCUCAAAUUUGUAAUCUGGCGUCCCUUGGGCGUCCGAGUUGUAAUCUAUAGAAGCGUUUUCCGUGCUGGACCAUGUCCAAGUCCCUUGGAACAGGGUAUCAAAGAGGGUGAUAAUCCCGUGCUUGACAUGACGACCAGUGCUCUGUGAUACGCUCUCUACGAGUCGAGUUGUUUGGGAAUGCAGCUCAAAAUGGGUGGUGAGUUCCAUCUAAAGCUAAAUAUUGGCGAGAGACCGAUAGCGAACAAGUACCGUGAGGGAAAGAUGAAAAGCACUUUGGAAAGAGAGUUAAACAGUACGUGAAAUUGUUGAAAGGGAAACGAUUGAAGUCAGUCGUGUCCGAGGGGUUCAGCCGGUUAUGCCGGUGUAUUCCCCUCGGAUGGGUCAACAUCAGUUUGGAUCGGUGGAAAAGGGCGGUUGGAAUGUGGCAGCUCCGGCUGUGUUAUAGCCUUCCGUCGCACACGCCGGUCUAGACUGAGGAAUGCAGCUCGCCUUUAUGGCUGGGGUUCUCCCACAUUCGAGCUUAGGAUGUUGACAUAAUGGCUUUAAACGAC